rnacentral:rRNA from 1 species
CACUCCUGCGGGAGGCAGCAGUGGGGAAUAUUGCACAAUGGGCGCAAGCCUGAUGCAGCCAUGCCGCGUGUGUGAAGAAGGCCUUCGGGUUGUAAAGCACUUUCAGCGGGGAGGAAGGCGAUACGGUUAAUAACCGUGUUGAUUGACGUUACCCGCAGAAGAAGCACCGGCUAACUCCGUGCCAGCAGCCGCGGUAAUACGGAGGGUGCAAGCGUUAAUCGGAAUUACUGGGCGUAAAGCGCACGCAGGCGGUCUGUCAAGUCGGAUGUGAAAUCCCCGGGCUCAACCUGGGAACUGCAUUCGAAACUGGCAGGCUUGAGUCUUGUAGAGGGGGGUAGAAUUCCAGGUGUAGCGGUGAAAUGCGUAGAGAUCUGGAGGAAUACCGGUGGCGAAGGCGGCCCCCUGGACAAAGACUGACGCUCAGGUGCGAAAGCGUGGGGAGCAAACAGGAUUAGAUACCCGUGUAGUCCCAUG